rnacentral:lncRNA from 1 species
UAGCAUUCCAGGAUUCCCGCAAAUAAUAAUUAGCAUUCCGGUUCCAGGAACGAAUUUAAAGAUUAACACCAUUGUGUUCAUACCAACAAUAUGGAUUUAUAAUACUUAACAAGUACAAAUUUGAGUCCUCACUGUGUCAUGCGUCUGAAGAUCAGAACUAUGUCCAUAAAUCUGGGAUACAAAUGUGUAAUAAGGUGCCGAAGGCACAAGAAUUAGAUAUGGACCAAGUGCAGAUUCUAUUCAAGUAUAUGCUUCCAGAAUGCAUGGCAUAAAAUGUUCUUGAAUGUAUAUGAAAUCAGGCUUAGGUCAUCAGACAUCAGUUUUCUUCUUCUUUGGCACAAACUGUCGAGCCCAUAGAUGUUUUCCCCUGGUCAUGAACUUGACUCUCAUAUUCCCAUCUAGAACACGGAAGAGUGUCAUCUGUGAGUAAAAUGUAACGUGUGCGUACAGUGGUGGCCUACUUUCUAUUGGCUCCUCUACACUUAUUUCUUCAAUAUCUCCAUAGUGCCUGUGACAUGGAAGAAAUUAAUGAAACAAAAUUAGAAACUGCAUAUAUAGGCAAAACUAAUGAAAUGAAUUUAAUCUACUGAAUUUUCUCCUGAAAUUCAUUUUGCGUUCCUUAUUAUAUCCUUACAUGUCUUUUAUGUCAAUUAUAUGUAGCUAUCAAAUUGAUCACUUUAACUAGUAGAUUUCAGAUUUUGCGACGUCUAUUGAUCGCCAUCACAGAUUGAGGGGUUGGGGUGUAUGUCUUCACACCUCCCUUUAUGUGGACAUCACGACG